GAUGUAGCUUGCUACAUAUCCUAGCGGCGGACGGGUGAGUAAUGCUUAGGAAUCUGCCUAUUAGUGGGGGACAACAUUCCGAAAGGAAUGCUAAUACCGCAUACGCCCUACGGGGGAAAGCAGGGGAUCUUCGGACCUUGCGCUAAUAGAUGAGCCUAAGUCGGAUUAGCUAGUUGGUGGGGUAAAGGCCUACCAAGGCGACGAUCUGUAGCGGGUCUGAGAGGAUGAUCCGCCACACUGGGACUGAGACACGGCCCAGACUCCUACGGGAGGCAGCAGUGGGGAAUAUUGGACAAUGGGCGCAAGCCUGAUCCAGCCAUGCCGCGUGUGUGAAGAAGGCCUUUUGGUUGUAAAGCACUUUAAGCGAGGAGGAGGCUCCUUUAGUUAAUACCUAAAGUGAGUGGACGUUACUCGCAGAAUAAGCACCGGCUAACUCUGUGCCAGCAGCCGCGGUAAUACAGAGGGUGCGAGCGUUAAUCGGAUUUACUGGGCGUAAAGCGUGCGUAGGCGGCUUUUUAAGUCGGAUGUGAAAUCCCUGAGCUUAGCUUAGGAAUUGCAUUCGAUACUGGAAAGCUAGAGUAUGGGAGAGGAUGGUAGAAUUCCAGGUGUAGCGGUGAAAUGCGUAGAGAUCUGGAGGAAUACCGAUGGCGAAGGCAGCCAUCUGGCCUAAUACUGACGCUGAGGUACGAAAGCAUGGGGAGCAAACAGGAUUAGAUACCCUGGUAGUCCAUGCCGUAAACGAUGUCUACUAGCCGUUGGGGCCUUUGAGGCUUUAGUGGCGCAGCU
rnacentral:rRNA from 1 species